rnacentral:snoRNA from 1 species
GAGCAAGCCUUCCAGCAUGGCUGGGUCUGCGGUGACCCUGUUCAUUCCUGUAGUGCUUGCGAGAGCAGCCCUGAGAUGGUUUGAGGCCUCGCUCUGCUCCUUUUCAGAGUGAGGUUAUAGAAAUUUCAGACAGGC